ACCCCGCUGUUUUUUUUUAUUUCUUCCCAUUAGUCUGCCUUUUCAUUCCAAAGAGCUUUGAGAAUAAAGAGAGGACAGGGAAAGCGUUUAGAGACUUUGUAAAAUUCUACCAGACUGUAAGCCCUGUGAGGGUAGGGAAAUUAUCUUUUAUCACAUUACCUCCAUAGCCUAGCACAACAUAACUGUUUAUUUGUUGGAUCACACAAACACACACACACACUCUCUCUCUCUCACCCCCCCCCCCAGUGUGUGCUUUAUUCUUAGAAGAGUCCCACAGAACCAUAUGCCACAUAAGUGACUUCUGCAUCAGGUAGGGGACUGGACCAGAUCAGUAAUGUUAUGCUGAAAAACUAGUGUAAUUAUAUACUUUGGAUCCCAAACAUGAGAGAAAUGGAGAAGGCAAGGGAGGAUAAAAGCAUUAAAUUCCAACUGUCAUUCUGAACAUUGAGAUAAGACUCAGAGUAAUAAAAAAAUCUUCCUUAAAGAUCCACAGACAGGUAGUAAAGAAAUAGUGGGCUGCAUGACCUCUAAGGUCCCUGCUAAAUUUAGUAUUAUUUGAUUUUCAUUUAUUGAUCCUAAACAUCAAGUUAAGAGCCUAUACUUCAAGACACUGUUUAGAUCUAGAGUUACUAAACAUUAUUCUGGGCACUGAGGAGUCAGCUGUAAAAAAAGAGAGAAAUUCUUAACUUCAUGGUGUUUACAUUCUAAUGGAAGGUGGGUGUGGGAGGCAAAUGAGAUUUUAGUGUCCCAAAAAAGAUAGCAAGAGGCUAGGAAGUGGCAAAAUUAAUGGGACAGCAUUCCAAUGGUUAUAUCUUCAAGGGCUGGUUAGGUAUACUAUCAAUCAUUUAUUCUUUUUAAAAACGUUCAAAAAAUCUAUGAAGAAGCAUAUGUCAAUUUUAUCACCUAAUUUUCUUUCCCGCCUCUAGCGCUCUCAAGUCUAUUGCAAACUCUUCUAAGUCUUCAUUAGCUUUUCCCUCUCAAUUCCUUUAAUAAACCAAAAUAACUGCUUUCCA
rnacentral:lncRNA from 1 species